GUGUACAGCCAUGCCACCCUGAAGAAGCUCGAUCCAGCCUGAUCUCGGAAGCUAAGCAGGGUAAGCAGGUUCGGGCCUGGUUAGUAUUUGGGUUAGUAGAUGGGAGAGCACCUAGGAAGACCAGACAUAGUAGGCA
rnacentral:rRNA from 1 species